rnacentral:rRNA from 1 species
GAAAGGCACCACGAGAGUCAUACUGUCUCCUUUCUCUAAUCAGUGAAACUAAUCUUCCCGUGAAGAAGCGGGGAUAAAAAUAUAAGACGAGAAGACCCUAUGGAGCUUCAAACAAAUAACACUUGCCCCAGACCCCUAAUUUCAGAAAAAUUUUCUACCCCGGCAUCAUGAUUAUUAGUUUUCGGUUGGGGUGACCACGGAAUAAAAAACAACCUCCGCAAUGAAAGACACUCAUCUACUUAAUCAAGGGCCACGACCCCACACAUCAACAAAUUGACACUAAUUGACCCAACAUGUUGAUCAAUGAACCAAGUUACCCUAGGGAUAACAGCGCAAUCCACUUCAAGAGCUCCUAUCGACAAGUGG